rnacentral:tRNA from 1 species
GCUUGGAUGGCUCAGUUGGUUAGGGCAUGGUGCUGAUCAUUCCAAGGUUGCAGGUUCAAUCCCCAUCUGAAUA